rnacentral:rRNA from 1 species
GACGAACGCUGGCGGCGUGCUUAACACAUGCAAGUCGAACGAAGUGGCGAACGGGUGAGUAACGCGUAAUCAACCUGCCCUUCAGAGGGGGACAACAGUUGGAAACGACUGCUAAUACCGCAUACUGAAGGAGGGGAUUGCGUCUGAGUAGCUAGUUGGAGGGGUAACGGCCCACCAAGGCGAUGAUCAGUAGCCGGGCUGAGAGGAUGAACGACCACAGUGGGACUGAGAAACGGCCCAGACUCCUACGGGAGGAAGCAGUGGGGAAUCUUCCGCAAGGGACGAAAGUCUGACGGAGCAACGCCGCGUGAGUGAUGACGGCCUUCGGGUUGUAAAGCUCUGUUAAUCGGGACGCGGUACCGGAAUAGAAAGCCACGGCUAACUACGUGCCAGCCGCCGCGGUAAUAC